GUCAUGGGAGUGGUCCCACCAUGUUUCCAUAAUGGCAACUAGGUUAUAGCUUGCCUGCCACACAAUGGCUUCUAACUCUUCUUGUUUGUUGUCCAUGCUGCAUGCGUUGGUGUGGAUGCACUUCAGCUGAGUCCCUUGCCUCAUCCCUAAUCCCAUUAUUGCUCCCCCAGGCUCAUCUCUAGCAGACCUGGUUUUAUCCCCUUCCCCCUUCGUAUCUAGUUUAAAGCUCUCUCGACAAGUCCUGCCAGCUCCUGGGCAAGGAUCUGUUUUCCCCUUUGAGACAGGUGAUACCCUUGUAUCCCUUGAUGUCCUUGUAACCCUUGAUGUCAUUGCAGCUAGCAAGCGUCUGCACCAACCACUGAUGGCAGAAUAAUAGAAUCACAGGAUAUCCCAAGUUGGAAGGAACCCAUAAGGAUAAUAGAGUCCAACUCUUUGGUCCACAUAGAAUCACCCAAAAAUCACCCCUCUCUCCUGGGCUUUACAAACCAGGGGACCUCAGCUGCUCCUCAUACACCUUGCCCUCCAGACCCUGCCCCGUCUUUGUAGUCCUCCUUUGGACACUAUUAUUUUUAUUUCCCCAAACCGGAUACAGUACUCAAGAUGAGGCCUCACAAGUGCACUGCAGAGGGGAACAAUCACUUCCCUUGACAGCUAGUUAUGCUGUGCUUGAUGUACAUUUAUCCUGUGUUUCUUUGGCUUACCAAUGACUGCUUAUGAGGGUGAAUAGUGAUAGGAUGAGGGGGAAUGGUUUUUAACUGAGACAGAAGAGGUUUAGGUUGGAUAUUAGGAGUAUGUUUUUCACUCAGAGAGAGGUGACGCACUGGAACAGGUUGCCCAAGGAGGUUGUGGAUGCCCCAUCCCUGGAGGCAUUCAAGGCCAGGCUGGAUGUGGCUCUGGGCAGCCUGAUCUGGUGGUUGGUGACCCUGCACAUAGCAGGGAGGUUGAAACUAGAUCAUUGUGGUCCUUUUCAACCAAGGCCAUUUUAUGAUUUUAUGAUUCCUUCUGUUAUGCUGUAUGGGUGCAUCUUCCCCACCUCCUCCCUCUGAGGGUUUAUGAAAUUGUUCAGCCCCUGUAAUAGAGUUACAUAUCAUUGUAGGUGUAAUGGGAAAGAGACUCAGGUUAAUUUAUUGAAUAUUCAUUUCUUAUUUUUAAAUGAUUUGUCAACAUUAAUACACGUGUCUUGGAACAGAAGACCCAAUAUCAAGAACAUUGAAAGAGAGGAAUAUUUCUAUUUACAAAAUGGGCUGUGAUUAAA
ensembl:lncRNA